rnacentral:snoRNA from 1 species
UUUUAUGAUGAUUUUUUUAUAUUCACACUGUACUAAUACCAUCUUUUGGUAUAAUGACUACAUCAUACAAAAAUACUGAUUUAAUGACUCUGAUA